rnacentral:RNase_MRP_RNA from 2 species
GCUCAAGCACAAGAAUCGUAAUCGCAGUUCACGUACAGACAGACCCCUUUUGUAAAGGGUGCUCCAUCACACUCAAACAUACUGUGGGUGAAAGUCCCCGGAGCCUCUUCCUCAUAUCUAGAUCACACCUACAGAACCUUCUUUCAACCCUGUGGAAAUUCGUCUUAUUAGACUUUCAUCCUGUUACCUGAUUUUAGAUCUCAGAGGGAGAUAGACGUGGUUACGAAAGGGCUCAUAUCUAAGUACUGUGAGAAUAACCCAUCUACCCUCCUCGAUCUUAAAUCAUAUAGGUAUAUCGGAUGGGUCGAAAAGACGGUAUGGUUUUCAUCUGGGGAGUUGGAGGAUUUUAGACUAUUUAAACGAUAUUUCAACCCACUCCCAGAGAAGUGUACGGUCCCAUCCGAACUCCUUUGGGAAAGUGGUGAUAUCGGGUCUCAAAUAAUAUGGUAUGAUUGUUUCUUUCUCAAGUCAUCUACCUAUCAGGCGAAGAUAUGAGCCGUAGGAAUUCAUAGAUGAUUUGAGAAAGAGUACGAUCAUGGGGAAGAUGAAAUCAUGCGCUCAUAGUUUAUAGUUAUACGAUUGCCUAUUCAUACCCACUACUUCAACAGAAGUGGUCAAGGGGAAUAGGUUACUCGAUGGGGCUUACUCUGUGUCUUGAG